rnacentral:lncRNA from 1 species
UAAUUUCUGAAUACUCCACUUAUUCCUCCUACGCUUGAGUUCCUUUUAGCUGCUUCAUCCGUAUUCAGCUUGUAAAAGCCUCUCCUAGGUGGCUCCCAUUUGGUGGUGAUUUAAUGGGUUAUUUUGGUGAAAGCAUUUUUGUCAACACAAAGUAUUCUGUGUUGGAAGUGUUGAUCUUAUCUAUUUUGCUAUUGAAGAGAUUUUUCUUCCUAGAUAGCCAGAUAUGCUAUAAACAAAAGGUGAUGAUGUUUUCCUAGAGAACGGGGCCAUUGAAGGGCUUUUUCCUAAUUGUAUUCCAAGUUGAUGGCCAUUGUUGGGCUAAAAAUAUGGGGUUCUGUUAUUUGCUUUCAAUGGAUGCUUUGGAGAGUAAUUCAUUCCAGGAGUGGAUUGCAUUUUUGCACUCAAAGAAGAUGUGGUCGACUGUUUCUUCACAUUUGACCCCAAUUCUGUUGAGGCAACCCCUAGUAGAUAGCCUGUUGUAUAAGGAGCUAGACGGAGUUCUUUAUUUGUUAGGCGCCUGGAGUUUCCAGAUCCAAUUGAAGGUUUCUUCUUUUUCUGUUCCAACACUGUUUUUAGUGUUGCUAAUAAAGGAGUAAGCAGAACUGUUAGUAAAGGAAUCACUGGCAGUUAAUCCCCAAAUCAGAUUGUCAUCCUUUGUGGGAUUUGGGGAGAAGAAGAUAGAGUUUAUCAAGUUGAGGAUGCUCGGGGGUAGAUCCAUGGAUAUGGUGGAGAGAUCCCAAGCCCCUGAAUUGUAGACAAUGUUUACUUUGGCAUUUAGAUCAUUCAGGGUAAAAUGACCUUCGAUCAAGUCCCUAAUUGCUGGUUGAUUAGGAAUCCAAGAAUCACUCAGAAAGUUGAUCAUAUUUUCUUUAUGGACUACCCAUAUGCUUGCCUUACUACAAGUAUUUCAUCCCUUGAGAAUACACUGCAUGUAGGGGAUGUGGGUAUCUAGGACAUCUAAGGCUCCAGUGACUCUAGUUGUUUGACUUAGGUUGCGGUGGUUAUAAAUAAGGACUUUUGCCCAUAAGCUAUUGGUGUUUUGGUAAGUCCUCCAGGAAAGAUUAGUGAGAGCUGCUUUGUUUUUUUAGAUAAGAUUUUUGGAGCCCUAAACCUCCAUCAGCCUUCUUUUUGGUGACCUUAUC